GCCUUGACGUCAUUACGCAGGGACGGAAGUGGCGUCAUCACGUCGACCCGGAAGUACUGUACGCGCUGUUCCACGUGGGCUGCCCAGCGUUUUAUAAAUCUCCAGCGGUGAAAAUUUUUUUCAACCUUUAGAGAUUUAUUAUCACUCAAGAUUACUAAUUAUUAUUUAUAAUAAUAGAGAGACAAGUCAAAGCCUCCAAGUUGUUCAUUACUCGUAUGAUCAUUAUUGCAUUAGACAGCAGAUAGAGACACUGAGGUUUAUAAACAGUUACAAGUGUUAAACUUUAGAGAUUUACGUGGUGAUAGUAGUAUUAUUAUUAUUGGCGCUACUAAAACUACGACUUGGUAGUGUGAGGAGGAGUUGUCAAGAUGAAGGUUAAGAUGCUAUCCAGAAACCCGGACGAGUACGUUCGGGAAACUACUAAGGACAUCCAGAGAGUGCCUAGGAGCUAUGAGGUGUCGAUCCACCCUCUCGAGGUCCCUCGUGAGUACACCCGGGCCCUGAACUCGGUGAAAGUUCAGAGGCUCCUGGCCAAGCCGCUGGUGGCCUCGCUGGGAGGGCAUCGAGACUCUGUUAGCGCCUUGGCCACCCACCCACUCAGCGUGGUCUCACUGCUGUCUGGGGCCUGCGAUGGCGAGGUGAGGCUGUGGAACCUGGCUCAGCGUGAGUGGACUCGCCAUCUGCAGGCCCACUCAGGCUGUGUGCGAGGCCUGGUCACUCACCGUACUGGAGAGACUUUCCUGUCGGUGAGGCUACACCACUCACUCACCAC